AUUGAACGCUGGCGGCAGGCUUAACACAUGCAAGUCGAGCGGAGAUGAGGUGCUUGCACCUUAUCUUAGCGGCGGACGGGUGAGUAAUGCUUAGGAAUCUGCCUAUUAGUGGGGGACAACAUUCCGAAAGGAAUGCUAAUACCGCAUACGCCCUACGGGGGAAAGCAGGGGAUCUUCGGACCCUGCGCUAAUAGAUGAGCAUAAGUCGGAUUAGCUAGUUGGUGGGGUAAAGGCCUACCAAGGCGACGAUCUGUAGCGGGUCUGAGAGGAUGAUCCGCCACACUGGGACUGAGACACGGCCCAGACUCCUACGGGAGGCAGCAGUGGGGAAUAUUGGACAAUGGGCGGAAGCCUGAUCCAGCCAUGCCGCGUGUGUGAAGAAGGCCUUUUGGUUGUAAAGCACUUUAAGCGAGGAGGAGGCUACCUGGAUUAAUACUCUAGGAUAGUGACGUUACUCGCAGAAUAAGCACCGGCUAACUCUGUGCCAGCCGCCGCAGUAAUAC
rnacentral:rRNA from 1 species